CCCUCAUUAAAAUGCAAAUCAAUUUAUAACAUUUUUGACAUGCGUUUUUCUGGAUUUUUUUGUACAUAUAAUACAGUAUAUGUAUUUGUGUGUAGUGUACAUAUAAUACUGUAUAUGUGUGUGUGUAGUGUACAUAUAAUACUGUAUAUGUGUGUGUGUUGUACAUAUAAUACUGUAUAUAUGUGUGUGUUUGUGUAGUGUACAUAUAAUACUGUAUAAAUGUGGUGUGCGUGUGUGUGUAGUGUACAUAUAAUACUGUAUAUGUGUGUGUAGUGUACAUAUAAUACUGUAUAUAUGUGUGUGUUUGUGUAGUGUAUAUAUAAUACUGUGUAUAUGUGUGUAGUGUACAUAUAAUACUGUAUAUGUGUGUAGUGUACAUAUAAUACUGUAUAUGUGUGUGUAGUGUACAUAUAAUACUGUGCAUAUGUGUGUAGUGUACAUAUAAUACUGUAUAUAUGUGUGUAGUGUACAUAUAAUACUGUAUAUGUGUGUGUAGUGUACAUAUAAUACUGUAUAUGUGUGCAGUGUACAUAUAAUACUGUAUAUGUGUGUGUAGUGUACAUAUAAUACUGUAUAUGUGUGUGUAGUGUACAUAUAAUACUGUGCAUAUGUGUGUAGUGUACAUAUAAUACUGUAUAUGUGUGUGUAGUGUACAUAUAAUACUGUGCAUAUGUGUGUAGUGUACAUAUAAUACUGUAUAAAUGUGGUGUGUAGUGUACAUAUAAUACUGUAUAUAUGUGUGUGUUUUGUACAUAUAAUACUGUAUAAAUGUGGUGUGUAGUGUACAUAUAAUACUGUAUAUAUGUGUGUGUGUGUGUAGUGUACAUAUAAUACUGUAUAUAUGUGUGUAGUGUACAUAUAAUACUGUAUAUGUGUGUGUAGUGUACAUAUAACACUGUAUAUGUGUGCAGUGUACAUAUAAUACUGUAUAUGUGUGUGUAGUGUACAUAUAAUACUGUAUAUGUGUGUGUAGUGUACAUAUAAUACUGUGCAUAUGUGUGUAGUGUACAUAUAAUACUGUAUAUGUGUGUGUAGUGUACAUAUAAUACUGUGCAUAUGUGUGUAGUGUACAUAUAAUACUGUAUAAAUGUGGUGUGUAGUGUACAUAUAAUACUGUAUAUAUGUGUGUGUUUGUG
ensembl:lncRNA